AGCUCCAAUAGCGUAUAUUAUUGAUGUUGCAGUUGAAACGUUCGUAGUCGAACUUUGUGUGCAAGGAUCUCUGCACCCCUCGCGGGUCGGAAAUCUAUGCACAUAUGGCGCAACUAGCUGUGCAUGUUUCAUGUAUCAGCUUUUUUGCGUUUUACUUUGAGUGAAUCGGCGUGUUCCACGCAGGCAUGUGCCUUGAACGAUUUACCAUAGCAUAAUUACAGUAUGGAAUUGUCUGAUUGCUUGUUCAAGGGCAUUUCCGAUACUGAUAAGACGGUUGA
rnacentral:rRNA from 1 species